rnacentral:rRNA from 1 species
UGGGGAAUAUUGGACAAUGGGCGCAAGCCUGAUCCAGCCAUGCCGCGUGAGUGAUGAAGGCCUUAGGGUUGUAAAGCUCUUUCGCCGGUGAAGAUAAUGACGGUAACCGGAGAAGAAGCCCCGGCUAACUUCGUGCCAGCAGCCGCGGUAAUACGAAGGGGGCUAGCGUUGCUCGGAAUCACUGGGCGUAAAGCGCACGUAGGCGGAUCGUUAAGUCAGGGGUGAAAUCCUGGAGCUCAACUCCAGAACUGCCCUUGAUACUGGCGAUCUCGAGUUCGAGAGAGGUUGUGGAACUCCGAGUGUAGAGGUGAAAUUCGUAGAUAUUCGGAAGAACACCAGUGGCGAAGGCGGCCAACUGGCUCGAUACU